ensembl:lncRNA
GGGGUGAGUAAGGUGGGGUGAGGUGGGGUGAGGUAGGGUGUGGUGAGGUGGGGUGAGGUAGGGUGGGGUGAGGUAGGGUGGGGUGAGGUAGGGUGGGGUGAGGUAGGGUGGGGUGAGGUAGAGUGAGGUGAGGUAGGGUGGGGUGAGGUAGGGUAAGGUAGGGUGAGGUAGGGUGGGGCGAGGUAGGGUGGGGUGAGGUAGGGUGGGGUAAGGUAGGGUAGGAUGAGGCAGGGUGGGGUGAGGUAGGGUGAGGUAGUGUGGGGGCGAGGUAGGGUGGGGUGUGGUAGGGUGGGGUAAGGUAGGGUGGAGUGAGAUGGGGUGAGGUAGGGCGGGGUAAGGCAGGGUGAGGUGGGGUAGGGUGAGGUAGGGUGGGGUGAGGUAUGGUAGGGUGGGGUAGGGUGAGGUGAGGUAGGGUGGG